UACGGAGGGUGCGAGCGUUGUCCGGAAUCACUGGGCGUAAAGGGCGCGUAGGCGGCCUGAUAAGUAGGGGGUGAAAUCCUGCGGCUUAACCGCAGGGCUGCCUUCUAAACUGUCAGGCUAGAGCACAGUAGAGGCAGGUGGAAUUCCCGGUGUAGCGGUGGAAUGCGUAGAGAUCGGGAAGAACAUCAGUGGCGAAGGCGGCCUGCUGGGCUGUUGCUGACGCUGAGGCGCGACAGCGUGGGGAGUAAACAGG
rnacentral:rRNA from 1 species